rnacentral:rRNA from 1 species
GACGAACGCUGGCGGCGUGCUUAACACAUGCAAGUCGAACGGAAAGGCCCUGCUUUUGUGGGGUGCUCGAGUGGCGAACGGGUGAGUAACACGUGAGUAACCUGCCCUUGACUUUGGGAUAACUUCAGGAAACUGGGGCUAAUACCGGAUAGGAGCUCCUGCUGCAUGGUGGGGGUUGGAAAGUUUCGGCGGUUGGGGGUGGACUCGCGGCUUAUCAGCUUGUUGGUGGGGUAGUGGCUUACCAAGGCUUUGACGGGUAGCCGGCCUGAGAGGGUGACCGGCCACAUUGGGACAGAGAUACGGCCCAGACUCCUACGGGAGGCAGCAGUGGGGAAUAUUGCACAAUGGGCGGAAGCCUGAUGCAGCAACGCCGCGUGCGGGAUGACGGCCUUCGGGUUGUAAACCGCUUUCGCCUGUGACGAAGCGUGAGUGACGGUAAUGGGUAAAGAAGCACCGGCUAACUACGUGCCAGCAGCCGCGGUGAUACGUAGGGUGCGAGCGUUGUCCGGAUUUAUUGGGCGUAAAGGGCUCGUAGGUGGUUGAUCGCGUCGGAAGUGUAAUCUUGGGGCUUAACCCUGAGCGUGCUUUCGAUACGGGUUGACUUGAGGAAGGUAGGGGAGAAUGGAAUUCCUGGUGGAGCGGUGGAAUGCGCAGAUAUCAGGAGGAACACCAGUGGCGAAGGCGGUUCUCUGGGCCUUUCCUGACGCUGAGGAGCGAAAGCGUGGGGAGCGAACAGGCUUAGAUACCCUGGUAGUCCACGCUGUAAACGGUGGGUACUAGGUGUGGGGUCCAUUCCACGGGUUCCGUGCCGUAGCUAACGCUUUAAGUACCCCGCCUGGGGAGUACGGCCGCAAGGCUAAAACUCAAAGGAAUUGACGGGGCCCCGCACAAGCGGCGGAGCAUGCGGAUUAAUUCGAUGCAACGCGUAGAACCUUACCUGGGUUUGACAUGGAUCGGGAGCGCUCAGAGAUGGGUGUGCCUCUUUUGGGGUCGGUUCACAGGUGGUGCAUGGCUGUCGUCAGCUCGUGUCGUGAGAUGUUGGGUUAAGUCCCGCAACGAGCGCAACCCUUGUUCACUGUUGCCAGCACGUUAUGGUGGGGACUCAGUGGAGACCGCCGGGGUCAACUCGGAGGAAGGUGGGGAUGACGUCAAGUCAUCAUGCCCCUUAUGUCCAGGGCUUCACGCAUGCUACAAUGGCUGGUACAGAGAGUGGCGAGCCUGUGAGGGUGAGCGAAUCUCGGAAAGCCGGUCUCAGUUCGGAUUGGGGUCUGCAACUCGACCUCAUGAAGUCGGAGUCGCUAGUAAUCGCAGAUCAGCAACGCUGCGGUGAAUACGUUCCCGGG